ensembl:lncRNA
UUAAAUACCACAAGAAGGACAUUUAUUGUGUUGGAUAUGUAGAUAGUAUUACAUUUACAAGAAUUUGAAUAGAUAGGCUUGCACAUGUCAGGAAGGAGAGUGCUUUAUAUAAUAAGCCACGGUGAGGGGAUGAACAUCCUACGACAGUUAGCAGGCAUGGCUUUAUGAGUUGAUAAGGCUGGAUUGUUUUUCAUAAGGACUAUUCUUACUCCUUUUUCCUAUCCUUUAAAAGGGGGAGAACAGCCAAGUGUGAAAAAAAAAAUGUACAAAGCAGCUGUGCUGUUAAAAAUAAUGGGUUAGGAACUUGGCCUUGCUGGAAGGGGAGGCCCUGGAGCACCUAGGGAAGGCACUGCUUCCCUUUAUGGUUGUAUGUCCCACGCUUCAUGUAAGGGAGGUUGGGCUACAGUAGCCAACAGAACCACACGUAGUGGCAGAUUUGUAGUUCUUGAUUAGUAUUUAUUAAACUAAGCUUUAGCAAAGUGUAUUCGUCUUUGCCAGAGAGAUUAGACUGUAUCUAAGCUAUGUUUUCGUUUGGAAAGAGGUGGGUGUGACUGUGAAUAAAAAAAAUUCUUAAUUCCAGUUAAGUAAUACCUAAUGGAACAUAGCUUAAAAAGAUGUUUAUGAUUAGAGUUAAAAUUAGUGAGCGUGAACUGUACGUUCAUCUUCUGGCCAUUUUCAAAGGCCACGUAUUUAAUCAGCAAACACACUGACCACAGCCAUUAGCAUAGCAAGGUCCCUGGUGCAUGCAACCCCCUACGUGCCUCCCUUCUUCAGGGUGUGCUGUCACAUCCUGGAGGCAUUUGGCAGGAGAGGGUUACUUUAUGCUUAGAAACUUCUGAGAGGAGCGGAGGAAAGAGGAGACCUGGUAAAGGUGAAGAGGUACACAGGAGGUCAGUGCUAUAAGCAUCUUUCCUGGAGAAGGAAGCUCUAGAAUAUUUUCCAGGAGGGUUAAAUUAAGUUUGACUUUGUAUUUUCUGGGUUCCCUGUGGGGGAAAGUCUUCCACGUUGUUCCCAAUGCUGGACUGAAGCGAGGAAGCCUUUCAGUCAGGCUGAUAUCAUUUCUUUACUGCACGCCCACUCCCUGCUAACUGCAGAUUACCUUCGCUGAAAGUUUGCCAAGAGAGUUUUCUCAUUCUUUGUUCUUGUUUUCCUCAAGGCUGCUAAAGAUCCGCAUUCCUUCUGAUAACAGCAAAAUGAUAAGUACCUUCUUUUUUGUUGUUGUUGUUUUAUCACCUUAAGGAAAACGUACACGUACUCUCCCCAAGUUAAGUAAGCCAGAUAAACAUAGUGCAACUAUGUUUAACGACCGAAUAAAAGUUAGGUUCAGCCAAGCAAGACUCAAGAAGCUAGAAGACAAAUUUCAACCCAAAGGAGAGAAAUUCUGUUGCGCAAAAUACCCUGAUGUUGAGGAAGGACUUCAGAGGGCUGGCUAAAUGCUCGGCUCCUGACAGACUGUGCUUCACCCGGCUGUGUGGAUGAGCAGGGCCACUGCUCCUCACACUGUUUUCUCCCCGCGUUCUCCCAGGCAGUUUCACAUUUGGCUCAGGGCAAGCAAACGUGAAAUAGGUCAGGUAGCUCCUAUCCCGAGAGCCAAGCGUCCUGCUCCUGCAGGCACCUCCCAGGUCACUCAGGGUACAGCGGCUGUGUGGCACGUGUCAAAGCAUUUACGAAUGCUGUCAGUUACCUACACGGAACCAUCGGGUCCGCUGAGGUUUUUUAUCAAGCCUGUAGAUACGUGCUUUGCCCGCAGAGCAUUUCUCCUCCUUGCUGCAGCAGGUCAAGGGACUCCAACUCGUUUCUGUAUUCUUUCUUUUUUGGGCAACCUCACUUCCACACGAGCAAGGUGGUUGUGUUGAUCAAAGUCAAGCAAGCGUAGCACAAGCAGCGUUAGCUCUAUUAUUGCCCUUUAUUUCUGAUAGUUUUCCGUGUAUUCGUAGCCUUAAAUCUUCCUAAUUCGUGACAAGCCUUCAGCUUCCCCAAAUACCGAGUGUAAACAAAGGAAAGUCAUUUCUGAGUUCCCCAUUUCACGCUCCGCCGGACGCAACGACGGUCUCCCACUUCCCCAGUUUACAGGUGCCGCCCUCACGACGGUCCGCACGGGGUGUGGGAAGGAGGAAAGCCCCCUCCUCGGGCUCAACGCGGAGCCCGACCCGAGCCCCCACGUGGGCGCCCGAACGGCCCGGG